rnacentral:rRNA from 1 species
GACGAAGGGGGCUAGCGUUGUUCGGAAUUACUGGGCGUAAAGCGCGUGUAGGCGGUUGCCCAAGUCGGGUGUGAAAGCCUUGAGCUCAACUCAAGAAAUGCACUCGGUACUGGGUGACUAGAGGACCGGAGAGGAUAGUGGAAUUCCCAGUGUAGUGGUGAAAUACGUAGAGAUUGGGAAGAACACCAGUGGCGAAGGCG